ACGCUCGACACCUACGAGAGGCAGCAGUGAGGAAUAUUGGUCAAUGGGCGCUAGCCUGAACCAGCCAAGUAGCGUGAAGGAUGAAGGCUCUAUGGGUCGUAAACUUCUUUUAUAUAAGAAUAAAGUGCAGUAUGUAUACUGUUUUGUAUGUAUUAUAUGAAUAAGGAUCGGCUAACUCCGUGCCUGCAGCCGCGGUAAUCUGAGCGGGCUGGCAAGGC
rnacentral:rRNA from 1 species